GCCUGGCUGGCUCAGUGGGUAGAGCAUGUGACUCUUAAUUUCAAGGUCGUGAGUUCAAUCCCCACAUUAGAUG
rnacentral:tRNA from 1 species